GUUGGAUCUUGACCUCCGUGUCUAGUGGAGAGAGUAAGUGCUGUUUUGAUUUCUUGGAUUUCUCAUAUUUAAGAGGACAAUAACACACAUAACCCGCAAGUUUUAAUUUGACUUACAAGUCAUAGGGAGUAGAUUUUGUAUCAUAAUAAGGAAUACUUCUUUCCUUAAAUUCUUAGAGAAAGGAAGAAUUGGAUUAACUCUUUACCAGUGAGGUAUUUUUCCUAUUCCCAGAAGAGGAUAAGGAGGGCAUAUAUAUUAUUCUAAUAAAAAUCAUAAAUCUAAGUUAUCUUUUUAGAAAACAAAAAGAAGAAAGAAAAGGGGGAGGGAAAGUAAACAAGUUCCAUAUUCCUAGGCUCUUUCUGCUUUAAGAAGACUAAAUAUAAACCCACAGUAUUCCUUUUUUCCAUUAACUAGAGAACUUCUAAUUCUAGCAGAAGUAUGAGCAAUGAUCAUUUAGCUUUGAGCAGUACUUUGUGUUUUCUCAUCCUCCACUUGCAUUUGUGGGUCAAAAGAGAAGUCAUUAGGGACUUGUAUUUCCUGUCUCAUCUUUUCCUUCCUCCUUUCUUAAAACUUUGUGGGAAAUCAACUUUAUAAAAUACUGAAGAGGGCCAUGUGCACUAACUUCUGAAAAGUCCUCCAUAAUUCUUACUUAUCUGUUUCCAAGUAAACUUUUCUCCCAGGGCAAAGACCAGAAUGAAUCUUGGUACAGAAGAGAAAAGUCAGUAUUUGCAACAUUUCAUCGUAUUUCUCUUAAUCAAAAGUGGGUUACUAUUGUUUUACUUUUCUUGUCUAUUUAUAACCAUUUCUUGGAAUACUGUCUGUUCUCUGUCUAUUCCCUACCCGACUGAUAAUUCCUUGGAGAAAAAAUUUAACUGACUUUAUUUACCAAACUUCAUCACUGUUGGUAUCUGUAUCUACACCUUCUGCAAUUCCAUUUUUUCUCUCUGAGAUGUAAAAUGGUUCAUUUGAAUAAAGAAUUAUCUUCACCUGAGAAUGUAGAGAUUAAAAUAUCUUCUUGUCUCAAGAAUGUAGUGUAAGGUUAUUGCCUAGUAAGUAGUUCAGGACCUUGGCCUUUUUUUCUCCUUCAAGGUUGAUUCCUCUACUGCAGUGUCUGGGUGGAUGUGGCUGACAGGUGGCAUUGCCUCAUGGCUAUUCCUAACAGCUAAUGAAAUAAAAAUAAGACUUUAUAGGAUUUCCUGGGACAAGCACUGAAGGAUGCAAGGGAAUAUCGUAUUACAUAAGACCAAGGAAAUGUUUCUCUCUGUUAUAGUGAAAAAAGUAAUAAUAGGUAUUGAAAAGGCUGAGAGUUUUAAUGAUAUUUUGCCAUUCCUUAUAUAUUUUUUUUAUUUUUUCAUAGAUAAGUGACUCCUGAGGAAAAAAGGACAGAAAUUUGAGGCAAAUUAAGAAAAAUAGAGGAAGACACAUGGAGUACCAGGAUGCAGGGUGAGAAGACCCACAUCUGCAUGUACUUAGGGGCAAUGCUCUUUCAUACGCAAAGGCCAUCAAGGUGCUCAGUGAGGAGCAUUCCUUCAGAAACAGAAGAGUCCUGAAAUUGAGGCUUCCUUUUAAGGCACUUGUUUUAGAUGACUUUUUCCUCUGCCAUUUCUAAAGAUAUCAGAAAUAUAUGAUCUUAGAGUUUGAAGCAAAAACAGACAUGUUUAACUGAACCAGUUCAGCACCUGUCCCUAGGGCUUUCCUGACGGAGACCUCACCAUGGCCCUGAUUUCGCCUAAGGGCAGUUCUAAAUAACUUGGACAGAUUUGUAGGCAGUGUCUUUGAGACGACAUUUAACGAUACCAACCCAAAUCUACCCACAACUGGUUUUAACACCACAGUAACUUUACAAGGAAGGUGGGGACUCUAGGGCUUAUCACUUUCGUCUAUGGCUUUCAUCCCAGUCAACUUCAUGCAUCAACCAAAAUGUGAUAUUUCUGAUAACCAGUAUUUGACUAUUCAGUUAUAUUUCUCCUGCUGUUGACCUGGUCCCCCUUGACUUUCUGUGCGAUUGCUCCUAAACAUGUUCCUUCUCUUUCACUGUAAACCUCUAUUCUUUCAUAAAUAAAUUGAUAGUGCACCUCAG
rnacentral:lncRNA from 1 species